AACAGACUAUUGCCGAUUACCUUUCAAAUAUAUAGGCGUCCACACCUGCGACACGUCCAACAUAUUUCCAGGCUUUUAUAUCGUUCGCGGCGCAGGUGAAAGAACUAAUUAAAUCGCACGGGUGUAGGAAUCGGACGACUGGAAGAAUUUGUACAAUCGGGUUUGUUACUGUUACUGAGUUGGCACGAGCGGACAAGAAACGGCGGGCACAGCGCCGAGAAAGACGCGUGCGUCGUCUUUGCGUCUCCUUUCGUAUUCUCGCGUCUCUCGGCUGUUAAUUUACAUACAACAAAAGCAAGGUACCGAACGAGUCCUUGGCGGGUCAAUGAAAGCCACGAAGAAGAGCGAAGAAGGGUGUCGUAUUUUCAGCGCGCGGUGCCACGCCGUCGUCUUUCCGAUUCAACCGUGUUUUCCGCUAACGCAUCGAGUCUCCGUUCGCUCUACAGGGUGUUUCCGUUUUUCCGGUCGUGUUCGCUAAAUAAUCGAUAAUCGUUAUUCGUCUUUUUACGCGAAACGAUUAAACGAAACUAUUUCGUAUCGUGAUUCUAAAAGGCAAACGGUGAACGAAUAAAACGAAACAAGGUUUUGACCCUUUGGUCGAUAAAUGUGAAAUUAAAUUCUCGCAAGAGAUACGAAAUAACGUAGGUUUACAGCGAUCCUCGAACGAUGCAUCGUCUAUGGAAAUCUUUAGACAACGCGAUAACAAGAAUCCUCGAAUAAAAUGUAAUAACAUGUAUGACUCGAAGAGAUUUAACAAAUAUCUGAAUAAGAUAAUAUACGAAACACUCGGAAUGUAUUCUUAAAAGCGUCGAACCGAGGACAAGACGAGAAAUCUCGUUCCUGCAUAAAUGUAAAUAAUUACUUUGACGAGUUUCCCUUGUUAUAAUUCCUUAUCAACGGUUUGUCAGCGACAAAUUAUAGCUUUAUCUUCGAAACGUUAACUAUUAUUUCAAUAUGAUCGUUCAAAUUACAAAAGUAAAAUAUAAUUCCUAAAACGAAUAAAUAUAUCAGAACAAUCUUACGAUAAAAAGAAAGACGGGAUAUGUACAUUCAUUUACAUCGUAUAUUACUCGAUGUAUUUCGGAGAAAGAAAUAACGUUAACGUAGGCAAAGAACUAAAAGUCCGAUGAAUCGUUAGAGAUUUACUUUCAUCGGCGCUACUUUUAUUUUUAGCUGUAGCACGUGAUAUUUGUAUCCGUAAAUACGAGCACGCUUUUGUAAAGAUUCUAAUCCUAUAGAAAAAAAACGAUAAAACCCGAUACAUCGUCGUCCGAAAUAAAAAUUUCAUUUUCUUACCGUUGAAACUAAUUUACAACCGCUAAUUUAUAACUGCUCUCCGAGAGAUUCUGUUAUCGAUAUACCGUUAUCGUCUCUCUGUCUUAUCGCGCGUUGUUUAAUACGUUAAGCUUCAUUAUCUCCUUAUUAUGUCGCGAAGAGAACGAACGAAUAAAACUCGACGCCACUCACCUUUUUACCGCCACAUUUAUU
rnacentral:misc_RNA from 1 species